rnacentral:rRNA from 1 species
UACGUAGGGAGCAAGCGUUGUCCGGAAUCAUUGGGCGUAAAGCGCGCGUAGGUGGCCUCGUAAGUCCGCUGUGAAAGUCAAAGGCUCAACCUUUGAAAGCCGGUGGAUACUGUGAGGCUAGAGUACGGAAGAGGCGAGUGGAAUUCCUGGUGUAGCGGUGGAAUGCGCAGAUAUCAGGAGGAACACCAAUAGCGAAGGCAGCUCGCUGGGACGUUACUGACACUGAGGCGCGAAGGCGUGGGGAGCGAACAGG